UGAACUUGGCGCGGCUUUUUCUGGUAAGCACCUCCCUUGACGCUUCAAGUUGUAAUCUCCUCAUCUCGCUUGGCGUCCAAGUGACUUCACUGCUCUGGUUUGCUGUGGGCUUGGUCUUGUUACAGGUGCCACCCGAGUUCCACUGCCCGUGCUCAUAGUGCGACAUUGCUUCCGUCCGGAGGAUCAGCAGGCCACUGAAGCCGGCACUGUGAAGCACAUAUUCCAACGCGCUUGCAAACGCCAUCUUUAGUCCAUAUGUGAACUUCACGUCUGGUAAGCUGCUGUGUGGAAGCUGCUCAUUGCGUCCAACUGUGGUGUUCUUGACGUAAUAGAUGCUUGGCCGGAAGAACCACUGUCCUGCGGAGAUGACCACGAUGUCGUACGAGGAAACCU
rnacentral:lncRNA from 1 species